rnacentral:rRNA from 1 species
UACGGAGGGUGCGAGCGUUAUCCGGAAUCACUGGGCGUAAAGGGCGCGUAGGCGGUUUGCUAAGUCCGAUGUUAAAGACCGGGGCUCAACCCCGACACGGCGUUGGAUACUGGCGAGCUUGACGGCUGGAGAGGAAAGUGGAAUUACCAGUGUAGCGGUGAAAUGCGUAGAUACUGGUAGGAACACCCAUUGCGAAGGCAGCUUUCUGGACAGUUUGUGACGCUGAGGCGCGAAAGUGUGGGGAGCAAACCGG